UGUUGCUUAGCAACAAAGGCUGCCGGGACGCUAGACGGCCCUGGCGCAGAGGGAGCUGAGACCGUCGGCAGGUCCCGGCGUGCAGCCUCUAUCGUUCUAGGGGGUGCUGCGGCAGGAGCGACCCAGAAGCGCCGGUGAGGCCAGCGCGUCCUCACAGCCAUGAGCAGUGAGCAGAGCGGGGGAAACACCAGACACCAGAACAACUUUUCUUCUUUCUGAGGUUGUUGUCAAUUUCAAAUAAGAGACCAUCCCAUACCAUAACAGUAUUAUACUAUACAUGAAAGGCCUUGAUAAUAAACCAAUGGAAUUAAUGGGACAAAAACAGAGAUCCACAUAUAUAUUUAUGUUAUAUAUACACACACAUAUAUGUGUGUAUAUAUGAGAUACAUGCCUAAGAAUUGUGUGUGUUUAUACUAAAAUACAUGCCCAAGGAGUUCGCUGAGACAUCUUUUGUAAUAGAGAAACAUUGGAAAUAAGUUAAAUGUUCAUUCGCUAGGCAAUGGAAUGGAUACAUUGUACUAUGCUCACAGAAUACUAGACAGCUGUGAAAAUCAUUGAGAAACGUGUAUUAAUGGGGAUAAAUUUCAAAAACAAUAUUAAAAAAUAGCAUGUUGCAGAAGGAUACAAAUUGUGUGUGAUGGCAUUUAUAUAAAAUUAAAAACAUGCAGUAACAAUCUUAGGUUGUUUGACAAUCAUAUGUAGUAAUAAGUGUAGUAAAAAUUUGCUUAGGAAUGAUAAACACAAAAUUCCAGGAUGGCAAAGAAUUGGGUUGAAGAUACACAAGUGUUCAUGAUAUUUUUUGUAUGUUUGAAAUAUUUCCUAAUUUUAAAGAGAAUGAGACGUGAGUAAAUAUAGAUAGUGUGCACAAUCUUGG